UACGAACCGUGCAAACGUUGUUCGGAAUCACUGGGCUUAAAGGGCGCGUAGGCGGACUGCCAAGUCGGUGGUGAAAUCGUUCGGCUCAACCGGACAAGGCCGCCGAUACUGGUAGUCUCGAGGGAGGUAGGGGUCGGGGGAACUGGUGGUGGAGCGGUGAAAUGCGUAGAUAUCACUAGGAACGCCGGUGGCGAAAGCGCCCGACUGGACCUCUUCUGACGCUGAGGCGCGAAAGCCAGGGGAGCAAACGGG
rnacentral:rRNA from 1 species